UGCAUCUGAAGUCUGACGAGGAUGAGAACCUCCGGGGGCAAGAGGUUCGACUCGAGCGAAGCGAGAGAACGUUGCGUCAGCAACGGCCCGCAG
rnacentral:sRNA from 1 species